ensembl:lncRNA
AUGAGCUCAGAUGACACGGGAGUAAAACUGUACAGGAUAUAUUCAGACAAACAUCCCUACACCAUUCCUUAUUCUCAGUUCCUCCGCUUUGGCACGUCGGACAGAGGAUGUGGAGAGGAGCGAGGGCCUUCAGCGUGGGAACCCCAUAUAACUGAUGGCCGAGUGUGGAGGAUAGCCGUGUUCUGGUUCUGAAUGAUACCUUUGGGCUAAAGCGGGAAACCGUGGACAUAUCUCUCCAUCUGCUUCCCUGUGACAUCAAAGGAAAGCCUUGGAUUCCACGGCCUAUAUAUAAAACCUGCAGGAAGACAUGUGUUAUUCUGGCUCUCUUCCUGUAACCUAAGGCUGAUCUUGAGCGCUCUUUUUCUCUUUCUCCCUCACUUUGUGUUGCUUCGUUCUCGUGGGUCUCUGCUGAAGUUGACCCUCUGAUGACUAAAUGCAGUCAUUUUUGUGGUCCUGUGGGCCUUUCAUGUUAUUUAGACAUGGGCAGGACGUCUAGAGGUUAAAGAGAAAACUGUGUCAUCAUUUAUUUACCCUUAUUUAAGAAAGUACGGUUUGGAAUAACAUGGGUAAACAAUGACAGAAUACUAUCUUUUAGCUGAAGGAUUCUUUGAAUUCUACCCUCAACAAACUACAUUUCCAGAAAUAUUGCAAACGGACACAAUCUGUUCCUAAAUUAACUUCUGCUUCCACCCACUCAGGACCACAAUGUUAAUUAAACCACAUUGUUUGCCAUUCUUUAACGGUAUAUCAAACCACUUGUUUGCUAAUGACCUAGACAAAUAGAGGAGUAUCUCUGACAGGGUGUUAAAGAGUUCCAAGCUCAUGACAAUUAGAAAGUGUGUGUUGCGUUUGUGAGAGCACAGGUGAUGGAUCAUUAUGUGCGUGACACUACUAGAGCGUAAUUUGGUCGGUUCCAAUUAGCUUAGCAUGCCAUGCUCUGCUAACUACAGACAGUCCACUUCUCUUGCUUUACUGACACCGUGGCCUUUGCUUUCAUCAGUGUUUGUGAGAGCUAUUUGGAGGUAUAGAUUGGAACUCAUGGUUCCUACUGAUGCAUUAAAAAUUUAAUAGGAAGGUUGUGACAGUAAGAUCUUCUAAUGUUUUACAUUUUACUUUCAUGUUAUUCAUUACCAGGUAAUUCACAAUUUUAGUUGUCUAACUUAAUUAGCUUUAAAGUGUUUAUGAAGGUCAAAAUUCCUAAAAAAUAAAUAAAAUAAAAAAAUACA